GUGGGAGGGGGCUUGCCCCCGAUGGCAGUGGGUCAGCCACCUAUUUUUAGCUGACGGACCGCUAUCGGGGGCAAGCCCCCUCCCAC
rnacentral:misc_RNA from 1 species